GGUCAAGCUACUAAGGGCACACGGAGGAUGCCUUGGCGCCAGGAGGCGAUGAAGGACGUGGCAAGCUGCGAUAAGCUCCGGGGAGCCGCUAAGCAGGCUGUGAUCCGGAGAUCUCCGAAUGGGGCAACCCAUCUGCCGUAAUGGGCAGAUAUCCUGCUGAUGAAUACAUAGUCGGCAGGAGGCGAACGGGGGGAACUGAAACAUCUAAGUACCCCCAGGAAAAGAAAGAAAACUCGAUUCCCUAAGUAGCGGCGAGCGAAAGGGGAAGAGCCUAAACCGGGUAUACGUAAAAGCCUGUGGGCGUUGUAUACCUGGGGUCGUAGGACUUUAUCGGGGAUCGCCACAGAGAUCCCGGGAAGUUACAAAGGUAUUUCCUAGGAGAACAAUCUGGAAAGGUUGGCCAUAGAGGGUGAUAGCCCCGUAUCCGAAAGGAAAUACCCUUCCUGGAUAAAGUCCUGAGUACCACGGGACACGGGGAAUCCUGUGGGAAGCUAGGAGGACCAUCUCCUAAGGCUAAAUACUACCUGGCGACCGAUAGCGCACAAGUACCGUGAGGGAAAGGUGAAAAGAACCCCGGGAGGGGAGUGAAAUAGAGCCUGAAACCGUGUGCCUACAUACAGUGGUAGCCCGUGGAAACACGGGUGACCGCGUACCUUUUGCAUAAUGGGUCAGUGAGUUACUCUGUGCAGCGAGGUUAAGCCGAUUGAGGUGGAGCCGUAGCGAAAGCGAGUCCGAAUAGGGCGCUAAGUUGCACGGAGUAGACCCGAAACCAGGUGAUCUAUCCAUGGCCAGGGUGAAGUUCCGUUAACCCGGGACGGAGGCCCGAACCCACUGAGGUUGAAAACUCAGGGGAUGAGCUGUGGAUAGGAGUGAAAGGCUAAACAAACCUGGAGAUAGCUGGUUCUCCCCGAAAUAUAUUGAGGUAUAGCCUCCCACAGUCGGUUAUGGAGGUAGAGCACUGGAUGGGCUAGGGCUCCUACAAGAGUACCAAACCCAACCAAACUCCGAAUGCCAUAACCUAAAGUGGGGGAGUCAGACCGUGGGCGAUAAGGUCCAUGGUCGAGAGGGGAAGAGCCCAGACCACCAGCUAAGGUCCCAAAAAUGUGCUAAGUGGAGAAGGAUGUGGAUUCGCUAAGACAGCCAGGAGGUUGGCUUAGAAGCAGCCAUCCUUUAAAGAAAGCGUAACAGCUCACUGGUCUAGCGAAUCUGCGCCGAAAAUGUAACGGGGCUUAAGCACAUUACCGAAGCUGUGGAUCCAUCGCAGAAUGUUGUGCGGUGGAUGGUAGGGGAGCAUUCUGCUAACCUGUGAAGGUGUACCCGUGAGGGACACUGGAGGAGGCAGAAGAGAGUAUGCUGACAUGAGUAGCGAUAAACAGGGUGGAAAACCCUGUCGCCGUAAGCCCAAGGUUUCCUGAGCAAGGGUAAUCCUCUCAGGGUUAGUCGGCCCCUAAGGCGAGGCCGAAAGGCGUAGCUGAUGGGAAACAGGUUAAUAUUCCUGUACCACCAGGUAAACGUUAUACCGAAGGGGGGACGGAGAAGGGUAUGCCAUCCAGGUGACGGAAUACCUGGUCUAAGCCGGUAGAGGGACCUCAUAGGCAAAUCCGUGAGGUCGCAAACCUCGAGAGGUGAUGGGGACCCCGGUUUUCGGGGGAACUGGCAGAUCCCACGCUUCCAAGAAAAGCCUCGUAGGGAGUUUACCUGGUGACCGUACCGCAAACCGACACAGGUGGGCGAGGAGAGAAUCCUAAGGCGCUUGAGAUAACCCUGGUUAAGGAACUCAGCAAACUGGCACCGUAACUUCGGGAUAAGGUGUGCUCCGGGAGGUGAUGGGACUGGCUCCCUGAGCUUUCCGGAGUCGCAGCGAAGCGGGGGUGGCGACUGUUUACUAAAAACACAGGACUCUGCAAACUCGUAAGAGGAUGUAUAGGGUCUGACGCCUGCCCGGUGCUGGAAGGUUAAGGGGAGACGUUAUCCUGAGUUACCCUCAGGAGAAGCGUUGAACCGAAGCCCCAGUAAACGGCGGCCGUAACUAUAACGGUCCUAAGGUAGCGAAGUUCCUUGUCGGGUAAGUUCCGACCUGCAUGAAUGGCGUAACGACUGCCCCGCUGUCUCAACCAGGGACUCAGCGAAAUUGGAAUGGGGGUGAAGAUACCCUCGACCCGCGGCAAGACGGAAAGACCCCGUGAACCUUUACUACAGCUUGACAGUGAACUCCGGGAUAGUAUGUGUAGGAUAGGUGGGAGGCUGGGAAGUGCUGGCGCCAGCUGGCAUGGAGCCGUCCUUGAAAUACCACCCUUACUGUCUUGGGGUUCUAACUCGGACCCGUUAUCCGGGUCGAGGACACUGUCUGGCGGGUAGUUUGACUGGGGCGGUCGCCUCCAAAAAGGUAACGGAGGCGCGCAAAGGUCGGCUCAGGCUGAUUGGAAACCAGCCGUAGAGUGCAAAGGCAUAAGCCGGCCUGACUGUGAGACCUACAAGUCGAGCAGACGCGAAAGCGGGCCUUAGUGAUCCGGUGGUCCCGAAUGGAAGGGCCAUCGCUCAACGGAUAAAAGGUACUCCGGGGAUAACAGGCUGAUCUCCCCCAAGAGUUCACAUCGACGGGGAGGUUUGGCACCUCGAUGUCGGCUCAUCCCAUCCUGGGGCUGAAGUAGGUCCCAAGGGUUUGGCUGUUCGCCAAUUAAAGGGGUACGUGAGCUGGGUUUAGAACGUCGUGAGACAGUUCGGUCCCUAUCUGCCGUGGGCGCAGGAUAACUGAGAGGAGCUGUCCCUAGUACGAGAGGACCGGGAUGGACGGACCUCUGGUGUACCAGUUGUCACGCCAGUGGCACAGCUGGGUAGCUAAGUCCGGAAGGGAUAACCACUGAAAGCAUCUAAGUGGGAAGCCCACCUCAAGAUUAGUUAUCCCGUCCGGUAGCGAUACCGGACUAAGACCCCAGAGAGACUAUCUGGUCGAUAGGCCGGUGGUGUAAGCGCUGUGAGGCGUUGAGCCUACCGGUACUAAUAGGUCGAGCGCUUGGCCAU
rnacentral:rRNA from 1 species